rnacentral:rRNA from 1 species
AACGAACGCUGGCGGCGUGCCUAACACAUGCAAGUCGUGCGAGAAAGUUCCUUCGGGAGCGAGUAAAGCGGCGCACGGGUGAGUAACACGUAGGUAACCUGCCCCCCAGUCUGGAACAACUAGAGGAAACUCUAGCUAAUGCCGGAUGAGACCACGAUCCCUUCGGGGGUUGCGGCCAAAAAUGGCCUCUACUUGUAAGCUAUCGCUGAGGGAUGGGCCUGCGGGCCAUUAGCUUGUUGGUGAGGUAACGGCUCACCAAGGCUGUGAUGGCUAGCUGGUCUGAGAGGAUGACCAGCCACACUGGGACUGAGACACGGCCCAGACUCCUACGGGAGGCAGCAGUGGGGAAUAUUGCGCAAUGGGCGAAAGCCUGACGCAGCGACGCCGCGUGGGUGAUGAAGGCCU